CGAGCACGCGCGUGUGGCAUAUCAAUAAGCGGAGGAAAAGAAACUAACAAGGAUUCCCCUAGUAACGGCGAGUGAAGCGGGAAGAGCUCAAAUUUGAAAUCUUCAAGGUUUUACCUUGACGAAUUGUAGUUUAAAGAAGUGUUUUCGGUUAGAGGAGUGGUAAAAGUUCUUUGGAAUAGGACAUCAUAGAGGGUGAGAAUCCCGUAUUUGGUCAUUCCUCCUAGCGUUGUGAUACACUUUCAACGAGUCGGAUUGUUUGGGAAUGCAGUCCAAAAUGGGUGGUAAAUUUCAUCUAAAGCUAAAUAUUGGCGAGAGACCGAUAGCGAACAAGUACCGUGAGGGAAAGAUGAAAAGAACUUUGAAAAGAGAGUUAAACAGUACGUGAAAUUGUCAAAAGGGAAGCGUUUGACACCAGUGUUGUUUUUCCGAAAAUCAAUUACGAAUGUUUUGUUUUUGAGGAGUUAUGACUUCAUCGGCUUGCUCCUUUCUUUACGAAACUUUCUUAAUGCACUUUUCGGUUAACAAGUCAACAUCAAUUUCUUUUGUUGUAAAAGGGUCAUUGAGGAAGGUGGCUUUCUUUUCGGAGAAAGUGUUUAUAGCCUUGUGACUCCUACAAUCGGAGAGACUGAGGUCUGCAGCGUAGAUCCUCUGGGAUUAGAUUACAUUUGUGCUAAGUUAUAGCUUUUCAUAGACAACUUGUUGACUAUGUUUAGUCUUGUAGCUUACUCGCUUACUGCUAUUUUACCUACGCUUAGGAUGUUGAUGUGAUACUGCGAGC
rnacentral:rRNA from 1 species